CACUCCUGCGGGAGGCAGCAGUGGGGAAUAUUGCACAAUGGGCGCAAGCCUGAUGCAGCCAUGCCGCGUGUAUGAAGAAGGCCUUCGGGUUGUAAAGUACUUUCAGCGGGGAGGAAGGCGAUAAGGUUAAUAACCUUGUUGAUUGACGUUACCCGCAGAAGAAGCACCGGCUAACUCCGUGCCAGCAGCCGCGGUAAUACGGAGGGUGCAAGCGUUAAUCGGAAUUACUGGGCGUAAAGCGCACGCAGGCGGUCUGUCAAGUCGGAUGUGAAAUCCCCGGGCUCAACCUGGGAACUGCAUUCGAAACUGGCAGGCUAGAGUCUUGUAGAGGGGGGUAGAAUUCCAGGUGUAGCGGUGAAAUGCGUAGAGAUCUGGAGGAAUACCGGUGGCGAAGGCGGCCCCCUGGACAAAGACUGACGCUCAGGUGCGAAAGCGUGGGGAGCAAACAGGAUUAGAUACCCGAGUAGUCCCA
rnacentral:rRNA from 1 species